rnacentral:rRNA from 1 species
GACGAACGCUGGCGGCGUGCUUAACACAUGCAAGUCGAACGGUAAGGCCCUUCGGGGUACACGAGUGGCGAACGGGUGAGUAACACGUGGGUGAUCUGCCCUGCACUUCGGGAUAAGCCUGGGAAACUGGGUCUAAUACCGGAUAGGACUCCUGGCUUCAUGGUUGGGGGUGGAAAGCUUUUGCGGUGUGGGAUGGGCCCGCGGCCUAUCAGCUUGUUGGUGGGGUAAUGGCCUACCAAGGCGACGACGGGUAGCCGGCCUGAGAGGGUAACCGGUCACACUGGGACUGAGGUACGGCCCAGACUCCUACGGGAGGCAGCAGUGGGGAAUAUUGCACAAUGGGCGCAAGCCUGAUGCAGCGACGCCGCGUGAGGGAUGACGGCCUUCGGGUUGUAAACCUCUUUCAGCUAUGACGAAGCGCAAGUGACGGUAGUAGCAGAAGAAGGACCGGCCAACUACGUGCCAGCAGCCGCCGUAA